ensembl:lncRNA
CCAAGAGUCACAGUUCCGAUGUCAGCUAUGACAGUAGAUCCAGAGGUAACUUCAGGCGACUGGUUAGUCAUUUCUUUUCCAUGUACAAAACGGUGUGCAUACUAAUGCACCCCACUUGGUCCUGCUGCGGUCCUAUCCAUCAGCUACUCUGUGCACCCCCCAUACUGGCUCUUCUGUCCUGUUCUCCCACAGUUUCAGCUCUGAAUGUUAAUGUCUGCCCACAGAAAUAGGUCAGAGCUCUGGAGCAGAGAACACCUGGGGAUUCAGAAUCAUCCCAGAGUGCUGUAUUUCUUCACCUGCCCAGACUGCACCCCUCAAGUCAGAUGUCCACUCACAAGGAACCAAUGUAUAAUGACCUCCCUGGGGACACUCCAAGGACUCCGAUCCUGUCAGCUGUGUCCUGGGGCGCAGACUCUGAACGGACAAUCCACAUUGGGGUCUGUGUGCAGUGCUAUGAAUUCAGCUCAGAACCUACGUAUAUAUCUUCAAAAUGAUUUGAAGGCCAGGUGUGGUGGUGCUCCCCUGUAAUUCCAGCACUCAGAAGGCUGAGGCAGGAGGAUCGCCUCAAGUUCAAGGCCAGCCUGGGCUACAUAGCAAGGCCCUGUCUCAAAAAGCCAGUCAACAAAACAAAACAAAAAGAGAUUUGAAGUACGUUUAUGGGACUGAAGUCUGUAAUCUUGGGUUGUAAAGUCGUCAUCCAAUUUACAGCAUCGUACUAUGAUCCUUUCAGGUUCCUUUGCCAGUUUUUGUAUUUGUACUGGUGGACAAGAUGCCACUGUUCCAUGCUUAAAAAUGUAAUCUUUCACUGUGCUGAGAAUUGAACCAUCCCACCGAGCAGACAAGCAAGGCCCAUCAACCAGUCAAAGCAUUCUGGAAUGGAAAUCUCACCUUCUCAGACUAAGUCCCCGGCAGUGUUAACUCCGUGCUGUACGAGCUUCUGGCUGUCACCUAGUGCUUUAAUGUUGUCCUGGUCAUUGGUGUCCACCUCUUGCAAAAGGGUCACCAGUUCCUCACCCAAGAGCUUCUGGAGGGCCCCUGUAAGUCACUGCAGUGCUGUUUGAGGAUGCCAUCUGUGACGCACUCUCUUCAGUCUGCCUCUGUGCCUCCUGCAGCCGCUGCUCCCACUCCACCUGUAGCUCUGUCACCCCCGUGUCCUGCACCAGCAGCUUGGGCUCCAGCCUCAGGCUCCCCCCAUUCAGCCAGGCAGCCAGUGGCUGAGGGCACAGGUUACCCCUCUCCCUUUAAUGACUUGUAAGGAACAUCUUGAGUUAUUUCCCUAUUGGUGGCUCAAGG